rnacentral:snRNA from 1 species
UCUCAUACCUGGCAGGGGAGACACCAUGAUCACAAGGGUGGCUUGCCCAGGGCGAGGCUUGUCCACUGCACUCCAUCUGUGCUGACCCUCGCAAUUUCCCCAAAGGUGGGAAACUCGACGGUGUAAUUUGUGAUAGUGGAGGACUGCAUUCGGGCUCUCCCCUG